UCUCAGGUGAGCAGCAUCUUUCCCGUGCU
rnacentral:piRNA from 1 species